rnacentral:rRNA from 1 species
CCUACGGGAGGCAGCAGUGAGGAAUAUUGGUCAAUGGACGGAAGUCUGAACCAGCCAUGCCGCGUGCAGGAAGACGGCUCUAUGAGUUGUAAACUGCUUUUGUACAAGGGUAAACCUGAAUACGUGUAUUCAGCUGAAAGUACUGUACGAAUAAGGAUCGGCUAACUCCGUCCCAGCAGCCGCGGUAAUACGGAGGAUCCAAGCGUUAUCCGGAUUUUUUUGGUUUAAAGGGUGCGUAGGCGGAUUGAUAAGUUAGUGGUGAAAUGUCCGAGCUUAACUCGGGAACUGCCGCUAAUACUGUUGAUCUAGAGAGUAGAUGCGGUAGGCGGAAUGUAUGGUGUAGCGGUGAAAUGCUUAGAGAUCAUACAGAACACCGAUUGCGAAGGCAGCUUACCAAUCUAUAUCUGACGUUGAGGCACGAAAGCGUGGGGGGCAAACAGGAUUAGAUACCCCGGUAGUC